rnacentral:rRNA from 1 species
AUAUUACCGAGUUUACAACUCCCAAACCCAAUGUGAACGUUACCAAACUGUUGCCUCGGCGGGAUCUCUGCCCCGGGUGCGUCGCAGCCCCGGACCAAGGCGCCCGCCGGAGGACCAACCAAAACUCUUUUUGUAUACCCCCUCGCGGGUUUUUUUAUAAUCUGAGCCUUCUCGGCGCCUCUCGUAGGCGUUUCGAAAAUGAAUCAAAACUUUCAACAACGGAUCUCUUGGUUCUGGCAUCGAUGAAGAACGCAGCGAAAUGCGAUAAGUAAUGUGAAUUGCAGAAUUCAGUGAAUCAUCGAAUCUUUGAACGCACAUUGCGCCCGCCAGUAUUCUGGCGGGCAUGCCUGUCCGAGCGUCAUUUCAACCCUCGAACCCCUCCGGGGGGUCGGCGUUGGGGAUCGGCCCUGCCUCUUGGCGGUGGCCGUCUCCGAAAUACAGUGGCGGUCUCGCCGCAGCCUCUCCUGCGCAGUAGUUUGCACACUCGCAUCGGGAGCGCGGCGCGUCCACAGCCGUUAAACACCCAACUUCUGAAAUGUUGACCUCGGAUCAGGUAGGAAUACCCGCUGAACUUAAGCAUAUCAAUAA